rnacentral:rRNA from 1 species
CAAAAACAUCGCCUCUUGCAAAAUUAAUGAAUAAGAGGUCCAGCCUGCCCAGUGACCAUGUAGUUCAACGGCCGCGGUAUUUUGACCGUGCAAAGGUAGCGCAAUCACUUGUCUUUUAAAUGAAGACCCGUAUGAAUGGCUACACGAGGGCUUAGCUGUCUCCUUUUUCCAGUCAAUGAAAUUGAUCUUCCCGUGCAGAAGCGGGAAUUCUUACAUAAGACGAGAAGACCCUAUGAAGCUUUAGACACCAAGACAGGUCACGUCAAAACCUCCUUAAAAAGAACUGAACUAAAUGAACCCUGGUCCUAAUGUCUUUGGUUGGGGCGACCCCGGGGAAGAAAAAAACCCCCGCGUGGAAUGGAAGCACCCUUGCUCCUACAACUGAGAGCUCCCGCUCUAAUAAACAGAAUUUCUGACCAACAGGAUCCGGCAACGCCGAUCAACGAACCGAGUUACUCUAGGGAUAACAGCGCAAUCCUCUUUUAGAGUCCAUAUCGACAAGAGGGUUUACGACCUCGAUGUUGGAUCAGGACAUCCUAAUGGUGCAGCCGCUAUUAAGGGUUCGUUUGUUCAACGAUUAAAGUCCUACGUGAUCUG